rnacentral:pre_miRNA from 1 species
UUAACUCAAAUUUGUAUGCAGUUGGAACAACGCCCCUAGCGGUAAACGCAGGCAAAGGUUCCAACUCCAUACAAAUUUGAGUUA